GGAGGGAUGGCCGAGUGGUCGAAGGCGGCAGUCUUGAAAACUGCUGGGCUCCAAUCGGGGUCCCGUGGGUUCGAAUCCCACUCCCUCCGC
rnacentral:tRNA from 2 species